rnacentral:rRNA from 1 species
AUUGAACGCUGGCGGCAUGCUUUACACAUGCAAGUCGGACGAGUGGCGAACGGGUGAGUAACGCAUCGGAACGUACCGAGUGAUGGGGGAUAACUGCCCGAAAGGACAGCUAAUACCGCAUAUUAUUCGAGCGGCCGAUGUCGGAUUAGCUGGUUGGGGGGGUAAAGGCCCACCAAGGCGACGAUCCGUAGCGGGUCUGAGAGGAUGACCCGCCACACGGGGACUGAGACACGGCCCAGACUCCUACGGGAGGCAGCAGUGGGGAAGUUUGGACAAUGGGCGCAAGCCUGAUCCAGCCAUGCCGCGUGUCUGAAGAAGGCCUGCGGGUUGUAAAGUACUUUUGGCAGGGAAGCGUUACCGGAAGAAGAAGCACCGGCUAACUACGUGCCAGCAGCCGCGGUAAUAC